AGCGAACGCUGGCGGCGUGCUUAACACAUGCAAGUCGAGCGAUGAAGUUCCUUCGGGAAUGGAUUAGCGGCGGACGGGUGAGUAACACGUGGGUAACCUGCCUCAUAGAGGGGAAUAGCCUUUCGAAAGGAAGAUUAACACCGCAUAAGAUUGUAGUAUCGCAUGAUACAGCAAUUAAAGGAGUAAUCCGCUAUGAGAUGGACCCGCGUCGCAUUAGCUAGUUGGUGAGGUAACGGCUCACCAAGGCGACGAUGCGUAGCCGACCUGAGAGGGUGAUCGGCCACAUUGGGACUGAGACACGGCCCAGACUCCUACGGGAGGCAGCAGUGGGGAAUAUUGCACAAUGGGGGAAACCCUGAUGCAGCAACGCCGCGUGAGUGAUGACGGUCUUCGGAUUGUAAAACUCUGUCUUCAGGGACGAUAAUGACGGUACCUGAGGAGGAAGCCACGGCUAACUACGUGCCAGCCGCCGCAGUAA
rnacentral:rRNA from 1 species